AUUGAACGCUGGCGGCAGGCCUAACACAUGCAAGUCGAGCGGAGAGGCGGACGGGUGAGUAAUGUCUGGGAAACUGCCUGAUGGUGGGGGAUAACGUCCGGAAAAGGGCGCUAAUACCGCAUACUAUCAGAUGAGCCUAGGUCGGAUUAGCUAGUUGGUGGGGUAAAGGCCUACCAAGGCGACGAACCGGAACUGGUCUGAGAGGAUGAUCAGUCACACUGGAACGCAGACACGGUCCAGACUCCUACGGUAGGCAGCAUGGGGGAAUAUUGGAUAAUGGGCUAAAGCCUGAUCCAGCCAUUCCGCGUGUGUGAAGAAGGUCUUCGGAUUGUAAAGCACUUUAAGUUGGGAGGCGUUACCAACAGAAUAAGCACCGGCUAACGUCGUGCCAGCAGCCGCGGUAAUUC
rnacentral:rRNA from 1 species